ACGGGCGGGCGGAGCGGCGGCGGAGGUGGGGGCCAGAGGAGGAGGUCCGCCGGCGAUCCGAAUCCGGAGCCGACGGCGAUUUUCGCCGCGUCGCCGCCUGCGAUGACUGAAGCGGUGCCUGCGUCGGGGGCGCAGGCGAUAUGCGUUUUGUCGGACCUAAGGCGAAAAGAUGAGAAAAAAAAUUAAUCCCAUGUCAAAAUUACCCCUAAGCUGUAUUAAGAGAUUACUAAUCUACACUUUAAAAUAAACGGUCGAGAUUAAUUCUACUUGCAGUAGAAUACUGCAGGUAGAAUACAUUGGAGCAUUACUCUCCGUAUAAUAAUGGAGGUUUGGCGCAGCGUAGUAAUAGUGCCACCAUGAGUGCUUACUUCCAAACCGUACUGACCACGGGAUAUUGCCAGUUUGCCACCUCGCGUCAUGGAUCGCCCUUUUGCAAAUGGAGCAUUAUCCGUGCGAUGGAAUUGACAAAUUUCCACAAGAGUUAAUGGAGUGCAUGGAGGACAGUUGACGUUUACUUUGACAAGUAAACAAGACUAGCAUAAGCUACUGCAUGCACACACCCUCCUGGUCUCCCAGUCCCUUCCCUCUACUAUCUUCUCUGUUUUUUUUUCCCUGCUAGUUCAUCCUGUCGCCAACGUGCCAGUCUCUGUCUGAAACUCACAUACUCUCUCUGCAAUAUGAUUCCAGAUGCAUGCGUAGACGAAAAACCAACCGAUACUCAACUUCCUCCAAGCAGCUAAGACAUCGAUCGAGGACGCAUCACGCAUCCAUUCCCGGCUAGCUGUUCGAAAAUGGCGCGGCCGUGGUGCCCCGACGACGCUUACGCCUGCCUCUCCCUCCUCCUCCUGCUCCUCCUUCCUGCAGCCAUGGCCACGUCGUACUCCUCUCUCUGCAGCUUCCCCGCCGAGGCCGCCGACCUCGUCGUCACCGCCGGAGAACACCAGUCCAUCGCGGACCGGCUCAAUCUUCCCUUGCCCUCCGACGGUUACUUCUCCGGCGGCGACAAGCUCCUCUUCGCCUCCGACGACCACCGCCUCCCACGUUCCUUCUCCUUCUUCACUCGCCGCGCGGCCCGCACCACCGACCCCGCCAUCACCCACCUCGUCGCCACGGUCACCCUCUCCGGCUACCGCUUCUUCGGCGGGCGCUCGUGGCGCACCAACGUUAGCGCCCACUCCGUGUCGUUCGACCUCGAAGGUUACUACUCCAACGACUCUGCCUCGGCGGCGCUCUGCAUGGUCGGGUCAGGCUCCCGCGCAAGAGACGACGGCUUGGGUGUCGUCAUCAUCCCGGACGUCGCCCUCCGCCUCCGGCUGCCGCGCCCCGCCACCCUCACGCGGCCCUUCGUCACCGGCCGCCUCGAGGGCCCGGACUUCGGCGCCGUCACCCUCGUUGCGUACGCCGAGGGUGACUACAAGUACGGUGAGGCCGCCUCCUGCCCGACGCCGCCCGGCGCCGUGCGGUCCGAGAGCAAGGUGUUCGACGGAAACUUCACGUGCGACCGUCUCGGGGCGCUGCUCCGAGGCUCCUACACCAUGGAGUACGCGGAGGGACGCGCGCCGAGCGGCUUCCCUCUGCGCCAACGCCUUCGCAGCAUGCACAUCAGCGAGAUUUACUGCGGCGAGAACGGCGCCGUGCGCGCGUACAUGGUGUUCGACUUCGACGACGCCUCAUCGGACGCCAUUCUUCUAGGCAUCCACGAAGCGCCGUGGAGGCGUGGCUUCCAGGCCGACGGGGACGAGGCGCUCGUCGCCGACGGGUUCUGGAAACCGUCCCAGGGACGGCUCUGCCUCAGGGCGUGCCGCACCGUGCGCUCGACGGUGCGCGAGAGCGACUGCGGCAUCCGGAUCCACUUCUGGUUCCCGGCCGUGUGGUCGAUCCAGCAACGGAGCUUCGUAGCCGGGAUGAUCCGGAACACGAGGAGCGACGACGACGGCGACACGAACAAAAUGUCCGGCGCGAUAUCGGUGUCAAGAACUGGCUUCAGGGGCGAUCUCUCCGACAUCAAGUACCAUUACACCAGAGUGGAGGACGCCAAGAACUACUACCACUCCAACCCAGAGCUGAGCAAGGAGAGGAACGGCAGGUUUCCGGGGAACUACUCCUACCGGGACUUCGCGUUCAGUUUGUACAUCACGACACACGGCGGAUACGGGUACGCCUCGCCGGUCACGCUCGGUUCCGCCAUGGUUGACGGUGGCACGCUGACGGCCGACGACGCGUUCUCUCGCCACGCUGUGGCAGAGAUGAUCAAGCAGAGGCUCCUGAGUGUCAGCUACGAAUUCGAUAUCCACCUCUAUCGUCGCGUGAAUUCAUCCAGGGCGUGGAAUGUGUCGCGUGUGCCUGAUCGGUGGCGCGUCUCGGCGGAAGGCGUUUAUGAUACCAAGUCAGGUACCCUGUGCAUGGUAGGUUGCCGAGUGAUCAACAGUUCGUCGGACUGUCAGAUCCUAGUGACCGUGCAACUCCCUGCGCUGGGCGGCGAGGACGGCACUGGGUCAAUCAGCAGCCUGAGGAAGAAGAGUGACACCCUCUUCUUCGAGACGCUUGGUUUUGCUGCGUAUGGUGCGCAGCCCGCCAUAGAGGCGGCCCAGGCGAUCUCGAGGGUGGACACGGAGCGCAUCAUGCUGGUGACCUCCAUGACGCUGUCCUGCGUCUUCCUCGUCCUGCAGCUGCGCCACGCCAGGAAGAACCCCGACGCGCUCCCGGCCACGUCGAUCACCAUGCUCGCCGUCCUGGCCCUGGGUUACAUGAUCCCUCUCGUGGUCAACUACGAGGCCAUGUUCGUGGACGACGGCGGCAGCAGAAACAGGCACUUCAUCGAGCUGGCGAGGGGCGGCCGCCGGUGGCUCGAGCUGAACGAGUUCGUGCUGAGGCUCAGCACCAUGGUGGCGUUCGUGCUGCAGCUGCGCCUCCUGCUUCUCGCGUUGUCCGCGAGAUCAACGGCCGGAGCGAGCGGCGGCGGGGACGACCGGUGGGCAGCCGAGCGGAGCACGCUCUGGAUAUGCCUGCCCCUAUACAUCGCCGGAGCCAUCCUGAUCUGGAUCCCCCACAUCGGUGACGGGCACGAUCAUCAGCCGUUGGCCAGAUGAAGUCCGCCAUCCACGUGCCGCCGCCGCCGCCGCCGCCGCUGUCGGACGACCUCCUCUCCUACGCCGGCCUGAUACUGGACGGGUUCCUGCUGCCCCAGAUCGUGUCCAACGCGUUCUCGGCCUCCAGGGUGAACGCCAUCUCGCCGUGGUUCUACGUGGGCGGCACCGCGAUCCGCGCGGCGCCUCACGCGUACGACGGGCUCAGGGCUCGGGGGUACGUGCAGAGGUGGAUCCCGUCCUACAUCGACGUCUACGCGGGGCCUCGUGACGGGCUCUUCAGCGUCGCGUGGGACGUCGUGAUACCGUGCGGGGCGGCGGCGCUGGCCGUGCUGCUCUUCUUUCAGCAGCGGCUCGGAGGUGAUUUCCUGUGUUGUGUGAAGAGAAGGAAGCCGGGGGGAUCAUACGAGAUAGUCUCGACGUCAACACUUUAACUGUUGACCGGCAAUCCGUGGCAUUCGUAGACAUUAGUGCGGUUUGAAUAAACAAUACAGGGGGCGCAAUUAGGGCCCGGGCGCCGGACGUCCUAUAUUUACACGGAAUUGCAACUCAUGUUUAAAAAUGCGUCAAAUUUAGUGUGGGACAUUAAAAAAAUAAUCUUUGCUAGAAUGAUAUCGAAAAAACGUGGUUUUGCUAGUACACUA